rnacentral:rRNA from 1 species
GACGAACGCUGGCGGCGUGCUUAACACAUGCAAGCCGAACGAUGAAACCUAGCUUGCUAGGUCGAUUAGUGGCGAACGGGUGAGUAACACGUGACUAACCUGCCCCUUUCUCUGGGAUAACGCUCCGAAAGGAGUGCUAAUACCGGAUACUCACACCGAGGCACAUGCCUUGGUGUGGAAAGUUUUUCGGAAAGGGAUGGAGUCGCGGCCUAUCAGCUUGUUGGUGAGGUAACGGCUCACCAAGGCGACGACGGGUAGCCGGCCUGAGAGGGCGACCGGCCACACUGGGACUGAGACACGGCCCAGACUCCUACGGGAGGCAGCAGUGGGGAAUAUUGCACAAUGGGCGCAAGCCUGAUGCAGCGACGCCGCGUGAGGGAUGAAGGUCUUCGGAUUGUAAACCUCUUUCAGUAGGGACGAGGCGAAAGUGACGGUACCUAAAGAAGAAGCACCGGCUAACUACGUGCCAGCCGCCGCCGUAA